GAUGAACGCUGGCGGCGUGCUUAACACAUGCAAGUCGAACGAUGAAGCCGGAGCUUGCUCUGGUGGAUUAGUGGCGAACGGGUGAGUAACACGUGAGUAACCUGCCCUUGACUCUGGGAUAAGCGCUGGAAACGGCGUCUAAUACCGGAUACGAGCUUCCACCGCAUGGUUAGUUGCUGGAAAGAAUUUCGGUCAAGGAUGGACUCGCGGCCUAUCAGCUUGUUGGUGAGGUAACGGCUCACCAAGGCGACGACGGGUAGCCGGCCUGAGAGGGUGACCGGCCACACUGGGACUGAGACACGGCCCAGACUCCUACGGGAGACAGCAGUGGGGAAUAUUGCACAAUGGGCGCAAGCCUGAUGCAGCAACGCCGCGUGAGGGACGAAGGCCUUCGGGUCGUAAACCUCUUUUAGCAGGGAAGAAGCGAAAGUGACGGUACCUGCAGAAAAAGCACCGGCUAACUACGUGCCAGCAGCCGCUGUAACAC
rnacentral:rRNA from 1 species